rnacentral:lncRNA from 1 species
UGUACACUUAUACAUUUCAUAAAGUACUCGAAAAACAACAAUGGGUAGUCCUAUACAUGCCAUAACAAAAUUCAACCAAAAUAGUACCCAAAAGAGCCUUUGAUAGUGUGGGUGACUUCGACUUCAAGAUCCCGAGUCCGAUAGCUGGAGAACCAAAAAUCUAUAAAACAGAGGAGCAGUGUAACGAGUAAGCAAUUUAUGCUUAGUAAGUUUUGAGCAAGGAAUUCCAGCAUAAACAAAGAAUAACACACAUUUAGCUAAACGGAAUAUUUCAUAAUACGCAAUUUACCGAUAUCAAACUUGCUUCACAACAUUAACAACCAUUAUGUACAUACACAAUAGACUAACUUAGCCGAAGGCCGGUAGCUCGUUUAUCAACUGAGCGAACAUUUAUUUGUAAGGGCUCGAUUAAAUUCAACACAUACGUAACAUAUCCCCAUAUUGGGAUGUUUUUCGUGUAUUCGCUGGAAUUUUACAGCAAGCUCAUUCAUUACCAAAUCACGUACCUUCGGGAUUUAACCGGAUAUAGCUCCUCGUUCAAAUGCCUUCGGGACAUAGCCCGGUUUUAGUAACUCACACAAUGCCUUCGGGACUUAACCCGGAUUUAAUAACUCGCACGAAUGCCUUCGGGACUUAACCCGGAUUUAGUAUCUCGCACAAAGGCCUUCGGGGCUUAACCCGGAACUUGUAUCUCGCACAAAUGCCUUCGGAUCUUAGUCCGGAUAUAUUCACUUAGCACAAAGCCUUCGGGACUUAGCCCGGACAGCAUUCAAUUAAUCAUGCACAUCUAACAAUAAUUCAUGGCACAUUCAUUUUUCAUUUUCAUUUUCAUUUGCGAAACUCAAACACAAGGCACAUAUCGUCCUUGCACAUUCGGCUCAAUAGCCACACAUAGAGCAUGAUUUAAUCACAUCGGAAUUUAAGCUCUCUUACUCAAGAACUUACCUCGGGUGUUGUCGAACGAUUCCGCUAACUAUUCGACCACUUUUUCCUUCCCUUUAUCGGAUUUAUUUCCCCUUUGCUCUUG